UAUUUAAUUACUUUCUAAUAAAAUCAAUUUGAUUUUAUCACUCUCUUUCUACAUUAUUCAAAUAUCAGAUUCAAAUUUAUAUACUCUCCCCCAAAACCAAAUCUGAUACAAAUUCAUCAUUUUCAUUGACAUCUUCCAGUAUCAAAAUCUUGAUUCAAAUAUCAGAUUCAAAGUUAUUUCACCUUAAAUAGGUUGCAAUCAUAAUCUGGUUCUGGAUAGCCGGAAUUCUCGCCGGCGGUGGGCUGUCGGUCUACUCCUUAAAUAGGUUGCAAUCAUCAUUUACAUAUUGUUCAGGUGGUACACGAAAACGCGCAACAAAGACCCAUAAUCUUUUCAAUGUUGGUGAAGCAGUCAAUUUGCAAGAUGGUGAGAAUGUGGCAACCCAGUCAAAGAAAGAAGAGAGUGAGUUCUGAAGCCAUUGGCUCAGAGGAAAGUGAGUAUGAUCAAGUGGCCUUGAAAAUUCAUUCUUCUGUCUUGCCAUUUAGUAAAAGGGACCCGAGGGUAAGAGGGGUGUGGCUACAAAAAACAAUGUUACUUCAGUAUACAUGGUUUGAGGUUGUUUCUGGUUUAGGGCAAGCUUUUAGCCCAUUACCCAAUCUGCCAAAGAGGGGUUUAAGUUAAAAUUCGUAAUGUGUGUUUCGUGACUGAUCAAUUUAACUUGUGUCAUCGGAUACGAUCAUUUGUACAUGACAAGAGGUGUUGUGAGAGGGGUUGGGUCAUGAAGCAGCCAUUGCAAGUGGGUCUAUGAAGUACAUGGAAGGUUAGUACCUAUUUUCUUUCAAGAUUGUUUUUGCAAAGCGUUCGGGACAAAUUGAGUAACAAGUCAACUUUGGGUCUUAACAAUUUGUGAGCCUUAUUUAUCCCAAUAUGCAUAAUGGUACCUGAUUUUAUCUUCCAAAACUGAUAGCCAUAUACGAGUAUAUACCAGCAACAAUCACCAUUUUGAACUCAUCAUGCACCCUAAGUCAUGUGUAUACUGUGGAAAGCUUUGUGAUGACCGGGAGGUAAUUCGUGAGCUGCAAGCAGCUGAUCAAGUUGAGGAGCUAAAUUCUGAAGAAGCUAAACCUCUUGCUGUCCAACGGUGAAAAUUUACAAUUUGGAAUUAAUUCAAAGCUAGGAACAUGGGAGAGUCAACCAAGUGCUGGUGCUAAGAAAAAAUUUGAACAGCAUAUAGAGUUAGUAGGGUGGCUCGUAAGGCAUCUGAAAUUGUGCCGUUGUGCGCUUAGUAUUAUUCCAAGGAUGAAAAGAUAAAAGAGGGUAUGAAGAGUGGGAAGAAAAUUGAGUGGUUAAGUACUCAAGUGUUAAAGUCAUGAGAUUGUUUUGACGACUUUUUUCUUUCUUUUAUUAUUGUUUUGGACGAACUUGAAGCAAAAAACACAGUUACAGUUUGUUUUGUUUUGAUUUUAUGAUCAUUUAUCUAAUUAUUUAAGUAGGUUAAUUAUAGCAGUA